UACGUAGGGUGCAAGCGUUGUCCGGAAUUAUUGGGCGUAAAGAGCUCGUAGGCGGUCUGUCGCGUCUGCUGUGAAAACCUGGGGCUUAACCCCGGGCCUGCAGUGGGUACGGGCAGACUAGAGUGCGGUAGGGGAGACUGGAAUUCCUGGUGUAGCGGUGAAAUGCGCAGAUAUCAGGAGGAACACCGGUGGCGAAGGCGGCUUUCUGGUCUGUAACUGACGCUGAGGCGCGAAAGCGUGGGGAGCAAACAGG
rnacentral:rRNA from 1 species